AUUAAGACACCGAUUAAUAUAAUUUGUAAUGAGGGCAACAUAAUUUUUUUGUGACAAUUUUUGCCUGCGAUUCCGCACACCUAGGGGUUCCAGUCCCGGGAUUUUUCGGGAUUUUAUUCCCGGGAAUUCCCGGGAAACGGGAUCCCGAAAUCCCGGGAUUUGAAGAACUGAAAUCCCGGGAUUUCGGGAUUUUUCAAUUUGUCAAUCAGAAGUGAAAUUGCUUAUAAUUUACAAUUUUAAUAGUAGUUUUAUAUAAUUUUCGGUUAUAUGAUUGGUAAGAAAAAGUUUCGAUGAGCAUAACCAGUCAAAAUUGAUCCUGAACUCGAAAAUUUAAAUUUGAAACAAUAUUGAUAGCCAUAUUUUUCGCACAUUGAUCUAAAUUUUGUAUUUAAUUCGUAAGCAAAAUUUUUAAUACAAGAUGGAACUUAAAAUUUUCUAACUUCGAUGUCAGAUUUUAACUUGAGGCAACAAGAACACUUUAUUUUCGGUAUAAUUAUGGAAUCUGAAAUCAGUUAUGCCAAAAAAUACUAACACAUUAGAAGUGAUUUCGAAUUUUAGUCGAUGAAUUUAAGGCUGAAUGAAAGGCUUUUUGAAGGUAGUUCGUAUAUUUGAGCUUGAAAUUUUUAAAUUGCCAAAUCCCAUGUCCAAUUGUAGUUUGUGAAUAAUGGUUCACAAUUUAGGCCAAAUAAUACUGACGAACGUAAGUUUGUGCAUUUCUGGUUAACAUGCUAGCGAAUCCUUGAUUAAUUAUUUAUGUUUUCUGGAAUGAAAUUAUCAAACUUUUUCUCUCAAAAAAAGACGAAAAUUGAGUAUCACAAUACAUCGAAAUUGUACAUUUACUAUGGCAGGCAAAACACUAUAAUCGCUAAUUUGUAUUGCUAUCCUAUAUGCAUUUUGUAUAGGCCAGAAAGUAGCAUACUUUAUAAUACUUAUGCAUGCACAAAUCUCUAAAACACAUCAUUAGGUAUGUAAAUAAGUAUUAUAAAUGAGCCAGGUACUUUUUAUAGCCAUGUACCUUUUUUUCCACCAAAAUUGACUAAUUUCAAGUUAUAUGGUAAGAUUUGAAUUUCGGGAAAAAAUCCCGGGAUUUGUCACGGCUAAAACCGGGAUUCCCGAUUCCCGGGAUUUAAAAAAUCGUCCGGGAUUGGAAUCCCUAC